GGUCAAGUUAUUAAGGGUGCAGGGCGGAUGCCUUGGCACUAGGAGCCGAUGAAGGACGUGAUAAGCUGCGAUAAGCUUCGGGGAGUUGCACGUAAACUUUGAUCCGAAGAUUUCCGAAUGAGGAAACUCACUUAGAGUAAUGUCUAAGUAUCAUUAAGUGAAUACAUAGCUUAAUGAGGGGAACUCAGGGAACUGAAACAUCUAAGUACCUGAAGGAAGAGAAAGAAAUUCGAUUCCGUAAGUAGCGGCGAGCGAACGCGGAUUAGCCCAAACCAAUAAAGUUUUCUUUAUUGGGGUUGCGGACAUAUCAUAACGAAGAGGUAUCGUAAUUGAAGAGGUUUGGAAAGACCCACCACAGAAGGUAAUAGUCCUGUAUGUUAAACGAGAAGACUUCAGAUAUGAUCCAGAGUACCACGGGACACGUGAAACCCUGUGGGAAGCAGGAGGGACCACCCUCCAAGGCUAAAUACUACCUAGUGACCGAUAGCGUAUAGUACCGUGAGGGAAAGGUGAAAAGAACCCCGGGAGGGGAGUGAAAUAGAACCUGAAACCCUGCACUUACAAGCUGUGGAAGCACAUUUCUUGUGUGACCGCGUACUUUUUGUAGAACGGGCCAACGAGUUACGUUAAGUAGCAAGGUUAAGCACUUAAGGUGUGGAGCCGUAGCGAAAGCGAGUUUUAACUGAGCGUUCAGUUACUUGACGUAGACCCGAAACCGGGCGACCUACCCAUGAGCAGGAUGAAGCGAAAGUAAAAUUUCGUGGAGGUCCGAACCCACGAGCGUUGAAAAGCUCGGGGAUGACUUGUGGGUAGCGGUGAAAUUCCAAUCGAGCCCGGAGAUAGCUGGUUCUCCCCGAAAUAGCUUUAGGGCUAGCCUCAAGGUGAGAGAUACGGAGGUAGAGCACUGAAUGUCCUACGGGGUAUUGCACCUACCGAAGACUAUCAAACUCCGAAUGCCGUCAUCUUAUACUUGGGAGUCAGACUGUGGGUGAUAAGAUUCAUAGUCGAAAGGGCAACAGCCCAGAUCGUCAGCUAAGGUCCCUAAAUGUAAGUUAAGUGGUAAAGGAUGUGGGAUUGCACAGACAACCAGGAUGUUGGCUUAGAAGCAGCCAUCAUUCAAAGAGUGCGUAAUAGCUCACUGGUCGAGUGAUCCUGCGCCGAAGAUUUCCGGGGCUAAAACUUACUACCGAAGCUACGGCAUCAGUAAUGAUGUGUAGGGGAGCUUCCCAUACGGGUUGAAGCAUGACCGUAAGGACAUGUGGACAGUAUGGGAGUGAGAAUGUUGGCAUGAGUAGCGAGAUGUGGGUGAGAAUCCCACAGGCCGUAAACCCAAGGUUUCCAGGGGAAGGUUCGUCCGCCCUGGGUUAGUCGGGACCUAAGCUGAGGCCGAAAGGCGUAGGUGAUGGACAACAGGUUGAUAUUCCUGUACUACCGAUAACCGUUUGAGAGAAGGGAUGACACAGUAGGAUAAGCUAAGCACACUGUUGGUUAUGUGUGCCCAAGCAUUGAGGCAGUCAAAGUAGGCAAAUCCGCUUUGAUAAUGCUGGGAUGUGAUGGGGAGCGAAAUUUAGUAGCGAAGUAGCUGAUUUCACACUGUCAAGAAAAGUCUCUAUCGAGGUUAAAGGUACCCGUACCGCAAACCGACACAGGUGGGUGAGGAGAGUAUCCUAAGGCCAGCGAGAGAACUGUUGUUAAGGAACUCGGCAAAAUGACCCCGUAACUUAGGGAUAAGGGGUGCCACCAUCAGGUGGCCGCAGAGAAUAGGCCCAAGCGACUGUUUACCAAAAACAUAGGUUUCUGCUAAGUCGCAAGACGAUGUAUAGGAGCUGACGCCUGCCCGGUGCUGGAAGGUUAAGGGGAUCUGUUAGAGCAAUCGAAGCAGUGAACUUAAGCCCCAGUAAACGGCGGCCGUAACUAUAACGGUCCUAAGGUAGCGAAAUUCCUUGUCGGGUAAGUUCCGACCCGCACGAAAGGCGUAACGAUUUGGGCACUGUCUCAACAACAGACUCGGUGAAAUUGUAAUUCCGGUGAAGAUGCCGGAUACCUGCGACAGGACGGAAAGACCCCAUGGAGCUUUACUGUAGCUUGACAUUGGGUCUUGGUACUACAUGUACAGGAUAGGUGGGAGGCUUUGAAACCAGGACGCCAGUUUUGGCGGAGCCAUCCUUGGGAUACCACCCUUGUAGUACUGGGACUCUAACCAUAGGCCAUGAAUCUGGUCUUGGGACACUGUCAGGUGGGCAGUUUGACUGGGGCGGUCGCCUCCCAAAAGGUAACGGAGGCGCUCAAAGGUUCUCUCAGUACGGUCGGAAAUCGUACGUAGAGUGUAAAGGCAAAAGAGAGCUUGAUUGCAAGACAUACAGGUCGAGCAAGGAUGAAAAUCGGACUUAGUGAUCCGGUGGUUCUGCGUGGAAGGGCCAUCGCUCAACGGAUAAAAGCUACCCUGGGGAUAACAGGCUUAUCUCCCCCAAGAGUCCACAUCGACGGGGAGGUUUGGCACCUCGAUGUCGGCUCAUCACAUCCUGGGGCUGUAGUAGGUCCCAAGGGUUGGGCUGUUCGCCCAUUAAAGUGGUACGCGAGCUGGGUUCAGAACGUCGUGAGACAGUUCGGUCCCUAUCCGUCGCAGGCGUAGGAAAUUUGAGAAGACCUGUCCUUAGUACGAGAGGACCGGGAUGGACGUACCUCUGGUGUACCAGUUGUUCUGCCAAGGGCAUGGCUGGGUAGCUAUGUACGGAAUGGAUAAGCGCUGAAAGCAUCUAAGCGCGAAGCCAACUUCAAGAUAAGAUUUCCCACCGCAAGGGUAAGACCCCAGAAAGACUAUCUGGUUGAUAGGUCGAAGGUGUAAGUGCAGCAAUGUAUUUAGCUUAUCGAUACUAAUAGGUCGAGGACUUGACCAA
rnacentral:rRNA from 1 species